rnacentral:lncRNA from 1 species
AGUGCUUGAACACAUGCACCAUGCAACCCCCACCACGGAGUCUGCGCUUCUUGGAUGCUCACUCCAUGAGGUGAGGUAACAAUUAAAAGCUUUUCUGUACUAUGAGAACAAAACCCCCCAAACACCAAUGCAAUGGCAGAAAGUUGGGAGUCAAAUCAGGCAGCACACACACGAACACUUUGUUCACAUGAUGAGGACCACAUUUUUGAGACAUUUUCUGAAA